rnacentral:pre_miRNA from 1 species
GUAGUAUUCCCUCCGUCCCAAAAUUCUUGUCUUAUAUUUGUUUAGAUACGGAUGUAUCUAACACUAAAAUGUAACUAGAUACAUCCGUAUUUAGACAAAUUUAAGACAAGAAUUUUGGGACGGAGGGAGUACAAA